CGCGGAGCUGCGAUUAUGAGAGCGUUUACCCUGCAGCGGGCGGCUGUGGCUCGGCGCUUCUUACCGGCGUCUCUCUUGCCCGCUGGGCGCCCGCCCCGCACCGCCCGGGCCCCGCGCACCUGUAGACGCGAGGCCCAGAGUACCUCUGCCCCUUGUGCUUUUCCGGGCUUGGCAGAGGGGUUCCCGGCGGGGAUUCCUGGGGUCGCGCUGGUGAUACGCAGUGAAGAAAGAUGAACAGCUGCGUCUGGGCUCGCGGGGAGACGGGCUGCGAUCGUAGGGGUCGGCGGGGCGCAGCUGGGGAGCCCGGGCCGGCGAACCCGCGCGCGAUCUCCGCGGGGACUGCCGGCGCUUUGGGCCUUGGAUGGAAAUGGGGACGGGGCCUCCGGACCCUCUACCGUGGAUUACUUGGUGCAUCUCGGCCGGGCUUGAUGACCCACGACCUCGUCUCCAUCCGUGGAUUGGUGCGUUCUACCCAACAGUCGGGUCGCUUCCUGGGAGGUGAAAUCAGAGGCUUGUGGCUGACCUGAAGAGAUGCUUCAAGCCAAGAAAGCAGGACAAGAUAAAAGGCAAGCAGCACUUGAAAAUCAAGCAGGUGCAUGAAGUGGACAGGAAGAAUCCCGGGGAAGGGAAGGGCAGGAGCGGGGAGGCUCCAUGCCACUGAGUCUUCGCCUCUCAAAGACCCACAGGGUGUUCGCCUCCUCGGGUGUUCGCCUCCUCUGUAGAACAGCGGGCCCCGACUCGUUUUGGCGCCAGGGACCGGUUUCCUGGAAGACAGUUUCUCCACGGACCCAGGCCUGGAAGGCAGGACAGGUGGAGAACUCUUCCUCUCGCCCUCAGCCCCCACCAGGAACCUCAGUGUAACCAUGAAGACCCCACGGAGCUAUGAUGGGACCUUCUCUUAAGAGGCAAGCGCUCUGUAUUGGAAUGAGAAGUCUUAUUCUGGAGAAUGGACUUCCCUGGUUGCUCAGUUGGUAAAGAAUCUGCCUGCAACACAGGAGACCUGGGUUCAGUCCCUGGGUCAGGAAGAUCCCCUGGAGAAGGAAAUAGCUACCCACUCCAGAAUUCUCAUCCCAUGGACAGAGGAGCUUGGCAAGUUACAGGUCCAUGGGGCUGCAAAGAGUUGGAUGUGACUGAGUGACUAACACACACACACAUUCUGGAGGCUAAAGGAGCUUCUGGAUUUAAGAAGAUGUUUGAGGAGAAAGCAAAGAACCUCAGCCUGAGGAGUCCUAUCUGUGCUGACCUGCGUGGACAGGAGACCACUUCCAGCUGAAGGGGCCACCGUGAUCCUGGACCUUAUCACUCCUUCUGCUGGUGCCUGAUCUUCAGACUGCCCCCCACCAGUCCUUGGAAACCAGAGGAUUUUCUCCUGCAUUCUUUCAUGCUGCCCACUUCUCACGUCUGCUGUGCUUUCGGACUCUGCAGUUCUCUUUAACUCUAUCAUUUCUCAGCUGGAUACAGAGUGAAUAGUUCACUACACGUACGUCAACUGAUCUUACAUUUUGCUCCUUCUAAAAAGGCUGGUGUUUGCACAUUGGAGUACAAGCAGCCUUGGAAGAGCAUCCCUCCUCGUGGAUGUGGGGUCUGGUCCUGCAGGCUCCAGACUGAUGCAGGUCUGUGCAGAAAUCCUUCAGGCUCUAAAGAUGCUAGGACAUUGGAAGGGCUCUUGCAGGGAGCUGGAUCCUGAAGACUAGCGUUGCCCACGUUCCACUUUCUUGGUUCGGAUUGCACGCAGGUGCGCGUCUGGAGGAGCAGAACACAGACACGUCUUCUGUUGAUACAGAUGCGUGAUCAGCUCCCAGCGGGGCAGUUGGAGUCCACGUCAGAACACCGUGCUUCAUUACAGAUUAUCCAGCAGCCAGAGUUGAUGGGGUUUCUAGAGGACCCUCUCUUUCCAUUGUGUCUGGAUCACAGAUGGGGCCCCACAAAACCCAAGUCCUGUUGAUGAAGUGAACCUUUACUGUUGAGAACAAAACAGCUCCUGAUGAAACAAAAAUAAUACAGUCACUGGCAACAAUGGAAAAUAGACUAUGGGAUGUGUGUGUGUGUGUGUGUGUGUGUGUGUGUGUGAGUGACACAUUUGUAUAGAAUAAGAGCCAGGAAGAAAAUUUCUGCAUCUUAGCUAGACGGACUAAGAGCUAAAAACCUUUGGGAUGGCAUUGUCUGGAGAGUGAAGGAGUUGACUGGAACACUUCCUGAAAUUCCUUUGACCUCUCGGGUCCCUUAAAAUAUCAGGGGCGUGUAAAUUGGGCCGAAGUGUGUGCUUUCUGUCUGAAGUCUCCUGGAUAACCGUCAAGGUCAACUCAGAUGCUGUUGACUCGGAACUCCCCUCCCCCAAUUCCCUUCCCUUUCCAGACACUGGCUUUAUCUGGGAUAAGGCAGCGGAACUUGGUAGUGGUCGCGGGGGAGAGAGGAGAAGGAGGUUGUGCCAGCCCCAGUCUGGGGUGCUCGUGACAAGUGAGAACAACCUGAAGGCAAAUUACAGGUUCUUUCCAGGUUACUUAAAGCCAGGCUUUCAGGAUUGCAUGCCAUCCUGAAGUUGUUGCUUCUUGUCAGAGGAUCACGGCUUUAUCUCUUCUGCUGAAAGACAGACUUAAGCAUCUCAUCUAACCGUGCUCAUCUUGUGUGGUGGCCCCGGCGCAGGGGGCGGAGGUCAUCACCUACUAGGGUAGAGAUGAGCACGCAAGCAUCUAGAAAUGACUCUGUCAUCACACACCUGUCAAGAUUAAGACACAACCUCCCGCACGUGGGUCUUUCCCCCUGUCCUGAAUCUCCCUGCCUUCACUGCCGUUGAAGGAACACUGACCAGCUACUGGGGGUCAUUUUUUUUUUUUUAGAAAAAGACUCAUUUCAGAUGUUUCCUUCAUUUUUAUAUCCCACAUGUGGUCAUUGGUUCCAGAAGAAGUCCCACUGUGGUGCCAAAAGCAGCAGUUUCCUCUUUUUCCCUCUUUUCUUCUCUUCUCAUCCACGUCGAAUCCCAAAUCCCCAGAGCCUGAAGUGGUCUAGAGCAUCGCUCUUAUCUAGAUCUACCCCUGACUAGUGCAGGAAUCCCGUUUCCAGCAUCGGAUGCGGGAUGGGCAGGCCCUGGGGGAGGCAGCCUUUCUGGCAGCUUGAGAGAGACCUGGGAGAGAAGGUUGGAUGAUGUUCAGCCUUAGAGGGGACAGCAGGAUUCUAAGGAGUACUUCAUGGGCAGCCAAGUGUCCACAUGUGUCAAUUUCUCCAUCCGAUAGUGAGCCAAAGGCUUCUCAUUUCUGGGUCCAGCUGUGUGUCUUACACUGAUUAAAAAAAAAGCAUAGAGUGGGGAGACAGGGAGACCUGAGUUUUUGUCCCAGGAUGUCCCGCUUCCUAGUUCCUUCCACGUAAAAUGAGGGAGUCACGUCACUCAUCCCCCAAAACCUCUUCUAGCCCUGCUAUCCACAGUGUCGUCAUAUGGAGAGACAUAGUUCAUGACUUAAAAGAUCGGCUAUUUUUUUUUUUUUCUCUCUGGCUGUAGUCCUAGCCGUAAUUUCUUUUUCCCUUAAGUUUUUAAAAAGUACCCAGCAGUCGUUUGUCUAUGUGUUGAUUUAUCAACAUCUUUGUUCCCCGACUAGUGAUUGAACUCAUGCCUCUUGCAAUGGAAGCAAAGAGUUUUAACCACUGGACCUCCAGGGCAGUCCCCGGGUUAAUUUCAGCUUGCUCCAAGAUCAUGUAUAAGUCACUCAAGCCUUUUUCUCCAGGUUUCAGUUUUCCCAUCAAUAAAAUGGGAGAGGUAGGGGGUGGUCUUAAUGGUCCUCCAAGUUCUCCUCCCGUGUGUCAAGUUCUAAGCCUUGUCUGACGCACCCCAUGGCUGACGGGUAAUUCUUGCUUUGCCUUCCGCCACACCAGCCAAAGACAGGGCAGUCUUAGGAAGUCCAUUACCAACGACUCCUUCAAAGCUGUUUGCACUUGUUGUCAGCUGCACCGAGCAAGAGUUUGUCGAAGGAGAAGGCAAAUAGACAUUCAGACUGAUGACAGGCCAGGGGGAGGGGGACCGCUGUUUGCCUGGGAUGACCGGGAGGGAGAAAAAAAACCUGCCUGCCGUCUUGACCAAUAAAUAAAAACUGGGAGCUCUGCGUGGCUAAAACUGUAGGGGAUUUAUUAGUUUGCUCAGUGAAAGGCAAAUAUUAAGUCUUAAGUUGGCCUGUCCUGGAACUUGCCUUUUGGCGUUUGUAUGCCGUCCGGCACCAAUCACCGUGUACUCCAGGUUAUCAGAUUCUGUCGAAGGGUUUUUUAAAAAAGAUUUUUUCCGUCUCCUUCUUAUUUCCUUCCUCCUUGCCUGCCCCGCAGCUCCCCCCCCCGCCCCCCC